AGGGAACCAAGGAGUCCAGAGCACUGAGGCGGGAGCGAGCCGGCAGGCUUCAAGGAGAUCGGUUUAUCCAGCCCUGCUAGACAGCGCUGGAAGGAGAAGCAGCAGAAGAGGAGACUGGAAGCUGGCGGGAUGGGCCACCACAGGCUCUGGCUCUUACUUGCGGUGGGAGCUGAGGAGCGCUGGUCUGGAGUGCAUUUGAAAGGAGUGUGUACCACUGGGAUGCUCCUGCCUCCCUCCAGGUGUGUACCACUGGGAUGCUCCUGCCUCCCUCCAGAUGUGUACCAACAGGAUGCUCCUGCCUCCAGUCAGUCCUACAAGAUGUUGCAAUGAUGCUCGCUUUGUGGAAGACAUUGUAGAUCCUGAAGGUGAGAACUGCUCUGAGCCACACUCCAGAAGCCAUUCACUCCUCACUCGCAUGCCUGUGCUGGUGCCCCUGCUCUUCUUGUGUAUGCAGAAGAGAAAUAAAUAAUAGGCCGACCCAGCUCAGAAUCUGUCACCCCAAAAUAAACCUGACCUUAAGAACCUUCAUUCCCAUCUUCUACCUGCCUUCCCCUCCCGCCUCACACUAAUCCACAUUCCGGUAAGAGAGGGGCCAGUUAGCCAGGGAUCCUAUGAGAGUCUGGGAGGGGUUGGACCUGAUGAUACCCAGUCCAAGGAAGCUGGAAGAAAUUCGUGUGCGGCCGUGCCCAGGAAUAAACAUUCAGUAGCCAUUUGGUCCACAGGCUAAACCAGUUGUUCACCAGAGUGUCCUCUGUGUGCCCUGGGUUUCAGUCGCCUGCCUACAACCAACCGUGACCCCACCUAGCUCUUACCUUCCUUUCGGUUGACUUUCUCUGAGCUCAGAGUAAAUAACCUCAGCCCCUCCCAGCAAUGGCAUGUCUCCAGUCCCCGCCUGGGCCUGCAAAGCUGCCUCGAGGAGACCUUUUCGGCCACUUUACCAACGUCCUUCUUUAGCUCAGCGGUUGGAUGCACUCAUGUCAGCAAAGGCUACCCAUCUGACUUACAGUUUUUAAUGGUCCAGAAGUCUCUCGUCUCCAGCAGCAGAAUCCUCCAGGGCCUUACAGACUCUCAGAUCCCAGGAGCUAGAAGCUACUUACAGGUGCUUCUUGUGUAACUCCUUUAGUCAUUGUUCUGGCAUUUGCAGGCCCAAGUCCCCUGUUAUAAAGCAGAGUGGGCCCUCACAUCCUACCUGACAUUUUCUCCUGGCAAUACUUGUUUUAAUUUUUUUGUUUAAUUUUUUUUGUUAAUGUUCUAAUUUAAAAAAAUAUAUAUAUCUUUAUCACAUUCUCCCCCUCCCCCGACUUCCUGACCCUCCACACUAUCUUCCUACCCACCCAACUUCCUGUUCUUUCUCUCUCACCACCCUCCCCCCCCGAAA
rnacentral:lncRNA from 1 species